rnacentral:rRNA from 1 species
AUUGAACGCUAGCGGCAGGCCUAACACAUGCAAAUCGAGCGGAUGAAGGGAGCUUGCUCCUGGAUUCAGCGGCGGACGGGUGAGUAAUGCCUAGGAAUCUGCCUGGUAGUGGGGGAUAACGUCCGGAAACGGGCGCUAAUACCGCAUACGUCCUGAGGGAGAAAGUGGGGGAUCUUCGGACCUCACGCUAUCAGAUGAGCCUAGGUCGGAUUAGCUAGUUGGUGGGGUAAAGGCCUACCAAGGCGACGAUCCGUAACUGGUCUGAGAGGAUGAUCAGUCACACUGGAACUGAGACACGGUCCAGACUCCUACGGGAGGCAGCAGUGGGGAAUAUUGGACAAUGGGCGAAAGCCUGAUCCAGCCAUGCCGCGUGUGUGAAGAAGGUCUUCGGAUUGUAAAGCACUUUAAGUUGGGAGGAAGGGCAGUAAGUUAAUACCUUGCUGUUUUGACGUUACCAACAGAAUAAGCACCGGCUAACUUCGUG